rnacentral:rRNA from 1 species
GAUGAACGCUGGCGGCGUGCCUAAUACAUGCAAGUAGAACGCAGUUGCGAACGGGUGAGUAACGCGUAGGUAACUUCCUCAUAGCGGGGGAUAACUAUUGGAAACGAUAGCUAAUACCGCAUACUGUGAGAUGGAACGGCGUUGUAUUUGGUAGUUGGUGAGGUAAAGGCUCACCACGGCGACGAUACAUAGCCCACCUGAGAGGGUGAUCGGGCACAAUUGGACUGAUACACGGCCCAGACUCCGACGGGAAGCAGCAGUAGGGAAUCUUUGGCAAUGGACGGAAGUCUGACCGAGCAACGCCGGGUUGGUGAAGAAGGUUUUCGGAUCGUAAAGCUCUGUUGUUAGGGAAGCGGUACCUAACCAGAAAGCGACGGCUAACUACGUGCCAGCAGCCGCGGUAAUAC